GGGCACAGAUAUCUACAUAUUACAUUAUCUGGUUGGAUUUUUUAAUGCAGGGAACUUGCAGAGAUAAUAAAAUAGGAGGGAUGGAAAUCAUAAAUGGUUAUUAUACUGCUAACUUAAAUGUAUUAUGUACAACCCCCAUGGGAAAAUUUUUUUUUUUUUUUUUUCCCCUGGACUAUCCAUGGGUUUCUGGUAUUAAUUUCACCAAGGAAACUGUUAAAGGUCUGUUAUGGAUAGAAUUAUGUUGUUCCCUCUCCUUCCCCCCCAUAUGUGUUGGAAUCCUAACCCCUAUACCUGUGGGUGUAAUCCCAUUCAGGAAUAGGGUUUUGUUAUGUUAAUGAGGCAUAUCAGUACAGGGUGUGUCCUAAACCGAAUCACUUCUGAGUUAUACAGAGUUAGACACAGAAGUAAGCACACAGGGAGGAAGAUAGACUUUACCUGACGACAAGAGAGACAGAUGCAUCCACAAGCCCAGGAACUCCAAGGAGGCUACCAGAAGCUGAAAUAGACAAAGAAAGGAAUUUCCCCUAGAGCCACAUACUUGUAACCAAAUGCCACUCGGGUUCUUGUCCUGUCCUCUUAGCCAACUGAAAUAAGAUGGACACUAAUUGCAAGGGAAACAGAAAUUGGCAAGUUUAUUAUCUGCACAUACAAGGAGCAACACAGGGUCUAGCAACCAUAAGGCCACGUGCUGCCCGUCGGUGGGGGCUGGGGAGCUUUGUGUUUCCAGUGGCGUCCGGGGUUGAGUUUGGCACCCGGAACUCCCCGCCCUUAGCCCUCCCAUGCCCAUAUUUGGAGGUCCGGAUGUUAAAUCAUCGGCUGUCCGACCUCCUUGUGUUGGGACCCCUCGCUUCUAAAAUGGAAUCAGCUCUGGGGGAAGAUCCUUGCCAUCAGUCUUCUCCAGGUCCAGGAGUUUCUCAGCACCCGGACAGUGGGUCCAAAGGACACCCUCUGAUCCUGGCUCUUUUUACUUGGUGGUAAGAGAUUCCACCCUCCAUCUCUGCUGGCUUCUCUCUUUCAUAUCUCAAAAGAGAUUGAAUCAAGAUACAACUUACUUCUGUAGAUCGAGUCCUACCUCAUUAAUAUGAGUGCUUCUAAUCCUGUCUCAUUAACAUCAUAGAGGUUAGGAUUUACAACACAGAGGGUAAAAACAUCAGAUCACAUAAUGGUAGACAACCACACAAUACUGGGAAUCAUGGCCUAGUCAAGUUGAUACACAUUUUGGGGGAAACAUAAUUUAAUCCAUAACAGGUAAACUCUGCAAAAAUCUUUGUGAAGAUCCUUACCAACUUUUUUCUAUUCACACACAUAUGCACCUCUGUGUGUUUGGAACACACACACACACACACACACACGCAAGCUUUUGCAAAAUGGUAGCAUUUUUUACGUACUAUUAGCAGCUUCUUUUUUUCAAUUCUUUAUUGUAGCUAUUUUGUCAUGGAUCUAUCACUCUCCCUAUUAAUGCACAGCACUCUAAUGCAUGAUUAUAAUAUCGUUUAUUUAUCCAGUAAUGAUAGGUAUUAAUUCAAGCUGAAUUCAGAAGAGAACAUGGAACGAGUGUUAUCAUUGCUGAUAUCAGAUGGGUCUUGGCUGAAAGCAGAGAAUGCCAGAAAGGUGUUUACCUGUGUUCUAUUGACUAUGCAAAGGCAUUCGACUGUGUGGAUCAUAACAAAUUAUGGAUAACAUUGUGAAGAAUGGGAAUUUCAGAACACUUCAUUGUGUUCGUGAGGAACCUAUACAUAGACUAAGAGGUGGUCAUUUGAACAGACCAGGGGGAUACUGCGUAGUUUAAAAUCAGGAGAAGUGUGUGCCAGGGUUGUAUCCUUUCAUCGUACCUAUUCAAUCUGUAUGCUGAGCAAAGAAUCUGAGAAGCCGGACAAUAUGAAGAAGAAUGUGGCAUCAGAAUUGAAGGAAGACUCAAUAACAACUUGCGAUAUGCAGGUGACACAACCUUGCAUGUGGAAAGGGAAGAGGACUUGAAGCACUUACUGAUGAAGAUCAAAGACUCCAGCCUUCACUAUGGAUUACAACUAACAUAAAGAAAACAAAAAUCCUCACAACUGGACCAAUAAUCAAAAUCAUGAUAAACAGAGAAAAGAUUGAAGUUUUCAAUGAUUUUAUUUUACUUGGAUUCAUAAUCAACACCCACGGAAGCAGCAGUCAAGAAAUCAGAUGACAUAUUGCAUUGGGCAAAUCUGCUGCAAAAUACUUCUUUAAAGUAUUGAAAAGCAAGGAUGUCACCUUGAGGACUAAAAUGCCCCUGACCCAAGCCAUGGUGUUUUCAGUUGUCUCAUAUGCAUAUGAAAGCUGAACAAUGUAUAAGGAAGACUGAAGAAUUGAUGCUUUUGACUCACCGUGUUCGUGAAGAAUAUUGAAUAUACCAUGGUCUUCCAGAAGAACAAGCAAAUCUGUCUUGGAAGAAGUACAGACAGAAUGCUCUUUGAAAGCAAGGAUGGCGAGACUUCUUCUCAUGUAACUUGGGUGUGUUAUCAGGAGCGAUCAGUCCCUGGAGAAGGACAUCAUGCUUGGUAGAGGGUGACUGAAAAAGAGGAAGACCCUCAAUAAGAUGGACUGACAUAGUGACUGCAACAAUGGGCUCAAAUAUAACAAUGAUUGUGAGGAUGGCACAGGACUGGACAGUGUUUCAUUCUGUUGUGCAUAACAGCACCUAACAACAACAAUAAAAAUCUGAACAGUUCCACACUACGUAAGUCAAGUGGGGAAAACUGUCUAGUUAUUUACAGCAUUUAUGCUACUAUUGAUCACAGAGAUUUCAAGCAGUUGCUGUUUUUAUUCAGCACUUCUCUAUAGAAAAUCCUGGGCUUAUUUCAAGGAUUUUAUCAGUUUUUCUCAGAAAAUCCUCAGUUAUUCACACAGGUUAAAUAUCACAUUGACACUCCUAUGAAAUUAAACUAGAAACAAGAAUAAAACAAGGUUUUCACUGGCUCCCUUUAAUUCUGACAUAAAUUAAAUCUGUCUUGGUGCCUCCCUCUCGCUUUUUCUGUGCCUCUGCUUUUUCUAACUCUUCUCUUUAAGGCACCUUGAGGAUUAGAGACCCAUUCCUAGUAUAUCAGGCUUUAGUUUAUGUUGUUCUCCGUCCAUCUCUUUUCCAUUUUCCACAAUUCUUAUUUUCAUUCAUCAACAAUUAUGUUUUGAACACCUCCUAUGUACCAGGCACUGUUUCAGGUAAUUUGGAGACAUCAAGGAACAAAACAGACAAAGAUACCUGUCCUAGGAGUUUACUUUCUAGCAGAGAGAGAAUACACUAUAGAUAUAAUAAAUAGGUAAGUUGAAUAUGGUAGGUAAUGAUGAGUACCACAGACAAAAGAAAAUUAGAGCAGGGUAAAAAAAAAAAAAAAUUUUUUUUUUUUUAAGGAGGAUGGGGGAGGAGCUGUGGGCCUGCUGGCAUAUUGGACUUCCCAGAGGGGUCUCUUGGUAAAGAUGGGUGUCUGAGUAGUCUCCGUUAGUCCCUCUAGGUUUGCUCUCUGCCCUCUGCACCAUGCUCCAUGCCCUGGGAGGAUGACCGUUAUGGGGUUUACCAAUGGGCUCUCUAGCUUUCAGGUGGGUUGGGCCCUUGUCUGAUACUGGCAAGACAUUGGGAGGCAGUAGCACAGUGAGGUCAGGGUAUUAACUCCUCUGGCUCCCUCCUUGACAGGCCACAGGUUGGCAGGGGGUGCAGUCCUUACUGAAGGUUACAACUCCUGUUGUGUGGCUUUUCCCUGCAGCUAACAGUACAGCUACGGCUAUGGCCACAGCUAUUUCUGGGCUCCAAAAACUGUUCCUUCUCUUGGGUGCUAAUAAAUGCUCCCCAUUGUUGCUAAGCCUAUGGUGCUUCUCCACCCUUUAUUAUUUUCCCUUAAAGCGACUUACACGUUUGUAAAAUGUUUCUUCAUUACACUUUGCAAAUACUCCAUUUGAAUGUACUGUCUACUUCCUGCCUAAACCUUGACUUAAACAGUAAGCAGUCCUGGCAAGUGAGGCCCCAGGAAACAGUGCUCAAAGUGAGAUUCUGUGAUUGGGUUGUUUAUAUUUGAGUGCGUGGGUAACCCUCUUGCUGUGGGAGAAGGGAAGGGAUAAGAGACACAGGGAAUCCAUGGCAUGCACAAGUGUCUGAUCUUACCCAGUUCUCAUCCUCUCAUUAUUCUCCCACUCCUAAAAAGUAUAGUGAGAACUGAUACACUCAUUAACUGGCGGAAGACUUACAUUAGUUCCCUGCCCUGUGGAAUGAGGAUUGUAUUGAUAGAAGGAGCCAAGUAGGAGCCCCAAAAUAAUAAACUCAAAGUAACAUGGCAUCCCUGCAGAAACUGUGAAGAUUAAUGCCCCCAUCAGAGACUUGCGAGAUGCAGGACUGAUUAUGCCUACCACAUUUCCAUUUAACUAGCCUCUUUGGCAGACACAAAAGCCAGAUGAGUCUUAGAAAUAACUGUGAUUGUUCCAGACUUAAUCAGGUGGUUAUGGCAAUCACAGCUGAGGUUUUAGAUGUUGUAUCAUUACUGGAGCAAAUCAAUAACCACUUCUGGCAUCUGGUUUUCAGCUAUUGACUUGCACAAACUCUCAAUAAACAGGUGGGAAAAGUGGCUGUCAGUCAGCAUCUUUCUUUGGCCUCAUGUUCAAUGAGCCCAUGUACGUGGACUUCUCAUUGCCAAGGCUGAUUUGGCUAGAGCCACUAUUGACUUUCCAACCUUCCAACAGCUGAGGGCAAUUCUGAGUCCCUAAUAAAACACCAGAUUCUGUGGAGUCCAAAAUGAUUCAUCCUUACGCGAAUAGAGACAUAUCCUGGAUACUUAUUUGCCUUUCUUUCUCAGAAUUCUUCUACUGGCAUUACCGUUUUUCGACUUAGAGAUGUAUUAUCCAUUGACAUAGUAUCUAACAAAAUGUCACAGCCAUCUAAGGCACUUAUUUGGUGGUGAGGAGGUGUGGCAAUGGGCUCUUGACUUUGACAUUCCCUACUCUCUUCCAUCCCCCAGAAGCAGAUGACUUGAUAGGUAAUUGGAAUGGUUUGAUGGAGACGAUCCAUUACAAGAAUGUGACUUAUGCCAGCAGCCAAUAUCUGGUGCUAUCUUCUCUGUAUCCAGAAUGCAUGUGUCUAGAAGUCAAGGGAAAUGGGAGUGGCUGGGGUAAUGUUUGAUGUUAUCCCAAUGAUUGUGAGAUCUGUCCCCUAGAAUGUUCUUCCACAAAACAGACACAUAAUUUAAUUAAAUUGGGAGCUAAGGUCACUCCCAGGCUAUUUUUUGGCUCCUUGUGCCACAGAACUAACAAGAAGGAAUAGGGAUAUCACUUUAAUGGCUGGGGUAAUUGAUACGGUGAACUUGUCACACCAACUUUUGAAAAUAAUAGAAUAAGUUCACACAAACUGGAUUUAUCAAUGCAUCACAAAAGGAGGUAGUUUAUGGUAAGAUAUAUCUUUAAGAACUUCUUUUCCUUCUUUGGAGAAGCAGAGAACAAGUCCCAAGAGUUAGUAGGUAAUUACCCUAUUCCCUCUGUUCCAGGGGAAGUGUCUGCCAAGAUGCUCUCCCGUUCUGGCACGUGUUCCUUUGGAAGCUGCAAAGUUUCCAAGGCCACUUCUGUAAUUUUCUCUUCGUAUUCUACAUAAUCUUUAUUCAUAGUCAUAUCAAGAUUUGAUGCUGGGCCUAUAUAGUAAACAUCAUGCCAAAAACAUACAGGCUUUAGCCAAGACUAAAACAAUUGCCAACAGUUCUUGUUUGAGGAAGAAGGCAAUUUUUUUUUUUUUUUCCUUUUCUCAUUGGGAAUAAUUUUCUGCUGCUCUACUGCAGGAUGUUUUAAGCACCAUGAUUCUGGAAUAACACUGCACUAACUUGACAUCAUUGGAAAUGAUCACCAAAUCCCCAGACAUGUUACUGGUUAAAGUUCAAUAGUAUCAAGGUCACUGGGUCAGGAGUGGUGAAGCACUAUCAGUAUGUCUGGUAGCUGGGUUGUUUUCCAUCUCUGGAGGCAGACAGCCUGGAAGGGAAAAGAUCUGGCUGUUCUUUGUCUGAGGGUAAAGAGUACCCUCCAGGACAUCUGCAAAGCCACAUUAGGAACCAAGGAUAAAGAAAAUCUGUGAUUAUAACAGCUAGAAUAGGCCUAUAGCAAUAGCGGUUUCAAUAAUUGCUUGAGAGCUACUGUCAACCUGCUUAGUUGUGCGAUGUUGGCCAGAUCCUAUGAAUUUAAAUGGUCCUCAUUGAUUAUGCCUUCACUGCCCAUAUCUUUUGACAAAGGCAAUAUUGCCAGUUGAUUGAGGUUGAGUAUGAACCCUAACUCUGACGUCUACUAGUUGUGUGACCCAAAGCCAGUUAUAUAACCUUUCUCAAAUUCUCAGUCUUCUCAUAAGAAAAAUGGGAAACGUAGUAUCUACUUCAUUAAGAUGUUGUAAGCAUUAAAGUAGAUCUUGUUUGUGAAGUACCUUAAAUAGUGUCUAGGGUAUAAAAAAAAAAAAAAAAGG